AUGCACGGCCCUGCCCAGAACGUCAUGGACCGGUGGCCUUCUCUGUGUGAGGGCCUGCUCUCGGCGUACCUGGGGCUGAAACAUCUCUCCAUCGCCUUCUCCUUUUCUUUGCUGCCCGUGGGUGUUUCCAGCCUGCUACACCCCAAGGCCCAAAACACCAAUUACAUGAUGGACGAUGUUGCAUCAAUUCUGUACUGCAGGGUCUGCUUUGCAGGUAUCUUCCAUGCUGCACCUUCUCUUUUUGUUGUUGGUUGCACACGACUGUUCAGUAUGAACACUGUCAUCAUGUUUUUGCUGAUCCAUUCACUUUUGCAUAGGAUGGGACCUAAAAGCUAA
rnacentral:rRNA from 1 species